rnacentral:rRNA from 1 species
GACGAACGCUGGCGGCGUGCUUAACACAUGCAAGUCGAACGGAAAGGCCCGGCGUUUGUGGGGUGCUCGAGUGGCGAACGGGUGAGUAACACAGGAGUAACCUGCCCUUGACUGUGGGAUAACUUCAGGAAACUGGGGCGAAUACCGGAUAGGAGCUCCUGCUGCAUGGGGGGGGUUGGAAAGUUUCGGCGGUGGGGGAUGGACUCGCGGCUUAUCAGCUUGUUGGUGGGGUAGUGGCGUACCAAGGGUUUGACGGGUAGCCGGCGUGAGAGGGUGACCGGCCACAUUGGGCCUGAGAUACGGACCAGUAUCCUACGGGCGGCAGCAGUCGGGAAUCUUGCACAAUGGGCGGAAGCCUGAUGCAGAAAUCUCGCGUGCGGGAUGCCGGCCUUCGGGUUGUAAACCGCUUUCGCCUGUGACGAAGCGUGCUUGACGGUACUGGGUAAAGAAGCAACAGCUAACUACGUG